GGUUAAGCGACUAAGCGUACACGGUGGAUGCCCUGGCAGUCAGAGGCGAUGAAGGACGUGCUAAUCUGCGAAAAGCGCCGGCGAGGUGAUAUGAACCUUUGACCCGGCGAUGUCCGAAUGGGGAAACCCAGUGUGAUUCGUCACACUAUCGUUAACUGAAUACAUAGGUUAACGAGGCGAACCGGGGGAACUGAAACAUCUAAGUACCCCGAGGAAAAGAAAUCAACCGAGAUUCCCCCAGUAGCGGCGAGCGAACGGGGAGCAGCCCAGAGUCUGAAUCAGCUUGUGUGUUAGUGGAAGCGUCUGGAAAGUCGCACGGUACAGGGUGACAGUCCCGUACACGAAAGCACACAGGUUGUGAACUCGAAGAGUAGGGCGGGACACGUGGUAUCCUGUCUGAAUAUGGGGGGACCAUCCUCCAAGGCUAAAUACUCCUGACUGACCGAUAGUGAACCAGUAC
rnacentral:rRNA from 1 species